UGGCGACCGUACCAUUGCAGUUGAGCUACAUGGCAAUUGGCUAGCAUGCACAAAUGCAACGAGUUUAUUACCAGAAUUAACCAGCGACCGCGAGGAAGCGGACAAAAAACUCGUUGCAUGUGUGCAUGCUAGCCAAUUGCCACCUAGCUCAACUGCAAUGGUACGGUCGCCA
rnacentral:miRNA from 1 species